AUUGAACGCUGGCGGCAGGCUUAACACAUGCAAGUCGAGCGGAGAGAGGUAGCUUGCUACUGAUCUUAGCGGCGGACGGGUGAGUAAUGCUUAGGAAUCUGCCUAUUAGUGGGGGACAACAUUUCGAAAGGAAUGCUAAUACCGCAUACGUCCGACGGGAGAAAGCAGGGGAUCUUCGGACCUUGCGCUAAUAGAUGAGCAUAAGUCGGAUUAGCUAGUUGGUGGGGUAAAGGCCUACCAAGGCGACGAUCUGUAGCGGGUCUGAGAGGAUGAUCCGCCACACUGGGACUGAGACACGGCCCAGACUCCAACGGGAGGCAGCAGUGGGGAAUAUUGGACAAUGGGCGGAAGCCUGAUCCAGCCAUGCCGCGUGUGUGAAGAAGGCCUUAUGGUUGUAAAGCACUUUAAGCGAGGAGGAGGCUACUUUAGUUAAUACCUAGAGAUAGUGGACGUUACUCGCAGAAUAAGCACCGGCUAACUCUGUGCCAGCCGCCGCCGUAACAC
rnacentral:rRNA from 1 species